CUUCAUCAAUGAAAUAUCAUACCAUUAUAGUACUUUCAACAACUAUGAAACAAUAGCUAACAGCUAUUGAAGCCAAAACUAUGGAAUUAUCAAAAGCAAAACCAUUAUUUAUACAAUAUUUUAACAAUUGCUUUGACAAAUCUUUUGGCAAUUUCACAAAACCAGACACUGGAUCGACGAACAACCACGGGAUACAAUCGACAAGUACAACGCAGCAAAUGG
rnacentral:lncRNA from 1 species